rnacentral:rRNA from 1 species
AUGGGCGGCCAUAGUGGGAAGGUUCACCCGUUCCCAUUUCGAACACGGAAGUUAAGCUUCCCAACGUUCUGGAUAGUACUUCCGAAUAGGAGGGAAUUCCAGAAAGCUGCCCAAU